CCUACGGGAGGCAGCAGUAAGGAAUAUUGGUCAAUGGGCGCAAGCCUGAACCAGCCAUGCCGCGUGCAGGAUGACGGCCCUCUGGGUUGUAAACUGCUUUUAUACGGGAAGAACAGCAUCUACGUGUAGGUGUUUGACGGUACUGUAAGAAUAAGGACCGGCUAACUUCGUGCCAGCAGCCGCGGUAAUACGAAGGGUCCAAGCGUUAUCCGGAUUUAUUGGGUUUAAAGGGUGCGUAGGCGGCUUUUUAAGUCAGUGGUGAAAGCCUGAUGCUCAACAUCAGAACUGCCAUUGAUACUGAAGAGCUUGAGUACAGUUGAGGUUGGCGGAAUGUGUCAUGUAGCGGUGAAAUGCUUAGAUAUGACACAGAACACCGAUUGCGAAGGCAGCUAGCUAAGCUGUUACUGACGCUGAUGCACGAAAGCGUGGGGAGCAAACAGGAUUAGAUACCCUGGUAGUCCACGCCCUAAACGUUGAUAACUCGUUGUUAGCGAUAUACUGUUAGCGACCAAGCGAAAGCAUUAAGUUAUCCACCUGGGAAGUACGGUCGCAAGAUUGAAACUCAAAUGAAUUGACGGG
rnacentral:rRNA from 1 species